rnacentral:lncRNA from 1 species
GUUGCUGGAAAAUUGGACCCGAGGGCCGCCGCGAAGCCGGGGAAGGAGGGGCUCCGCCGCAGGAACGGUGGAUGACUGUGCGCCGGCUACUGGCGUUCUCCUGUAGGGUGGAGCUCCGCCGCAGGAGCGGUGGUCGAUGGCGUGCCGACAGGUGGCGUCCUCCUGGGGGGCGUAAGUCCUGCAAGAAAACCGGUGGCCGGGCUCCCCGGCGCCGGCCCUCCGAUGCUUAAGUCAGAGGGGGCAGAUCUGUGGAGAGAGCAGGGAAGAGAGUAUGUGUAGAAGACAGAGAGAAUAUUUGGAUAAGUUCCAGAGGAUCAGUUUCCUCCAUUGUCUGUGUUGUUCACUUCUUUCCACCCGGUCUAGGAGGGUUCUCUCGGGCUUCGGGUUUUUCCUCCUCCUCCCUUUUC